UCGGACCUCUCCGCUUCGUCUUCCUCCAAAGCGACAGAGAAAACCGCCGUUACAUCACUUUCUAUUCUCCUUUGCUUCCACAUCUAACUCUCAGAAAGUUCAUGCGCUUAUCAUAACCCAAACGACAUGAAUCUGUUCCCGUUCCAUCAGAUCCACACUUAUAUAUCUCCCUUCUUCUUCGCUUCUCUGCUUCACCCUAUUCACUCAAACCAAAUCUUCAGAGAAAACGAUUACAUCGAGAAUGAGCAAAUCAACCGGAAAAUCCCUUACAUCUCUGUUCUAAAAUGAUGUUCUUCAUAUCCAAAGACAAUCGGGGCUACAAUUUCGGUUAAUCAACUGCUGAAAGCGAGGAACACAACGAAAGAUAGUUUCCUUAUUGGUAUGGAGAUUCUUCUUAUAGAUGAUCAUGUAUAAAAUCAUGUUCUAACCCGAUAAUUUUGUUUAAUUUUUAUAUAUCUUUCAAUUUUUGUGAAACUGCUUCAUGUUCUUUCUAGCUUCAUUCUUCAAUUAAAAGAUGGAUCAAUGUGUGUUUCCUUCUCUUCUUCGGAUUGGAAAUUGGGUUUUCCCACAGCUGUUUAUAAGGAGUAAUUUAGAAAUGUAAGAUGAGAGUUUUUCUUUUCAAUGAUUGUGGUGACUGAGCCAUGCAGUUGCUACAUGUAAAAUCAGUCCUUCUUUACAGUACGAUGCACACCAACAAUUUUAAAUCAUUAACACUCAUUUUCUCUUUUAUCAUGAUUCAACACUGUCUAUGGUCAGAGGAUGCAGCAUGUACAAUGUUUCAAUCUUAAAUAUUUGUUGUAUCAAUCCCUUCACUAUCACGGCUGAUGAUUUGCAUAUUUCUGAACAAGAAUUUUUUUGACAGGUUUAUAAAAUUCUCCAGUAUGCUGAACUUAUUAGAAGGACGUCAAUCUCGGUCCAGUGCAUAUUAUACUUUGCUGAUAACCACCACUAAGUCUAGGUUUUAAGAUUUUUCAUGUGUUGCAUAGAAAGAACAAAGAUACUAAUUUCUUUACUGCUCAGCUUUGUUUUUAUUUUGUGGCAGAGAUUGAACCAAAGUAAGCUAUGGCAUGUCUACAAGUUUCUCAAACCACAAGGCUUUGUGUUGUCCUUACGAUACUGCUCAUCGGUACAGAGAUUCAAAAGCUUACAAGGUCACUGGUUUUCUUUAUUAUGAUAAAAAUUUGGGUAUGCUGUAUAUAUUUUUGUCAUUUUGGCUUCACAGUGGGUAUGCCACAGUAAUCACUUGGGUAGCAUAUGCGCUGUUGAUUCCAUAUGGCUUCUAAAUCCAAAUCGGUAUAGAAAUUUUCUACAAACAAGUUGGAGUAAGGUAGUCUUGGCAUUUGUAGGGCAGAUGCUCUUCAAGUUUCUCUUAUGUAGAAGAAUGUCGCUUGCAUCACAAUUCUUCGUGUAAAGUUUUUAUGGGACAGUUUAUUUUCUACCUUCAUUAACAUGUGAGUGUGUGGCCAUUUUGCUUUGCAGUAUCUUUUGAGAAGAGCUUCACUAAACGCUAAAGAUGCUUUUGCCUUUCUGAAAACGACAAUGAUGGUGACCAACUUUAUGGAGCUCCUUAUUCAUCUGAGAGUGUUCAUACAUAAUAGGUUUCUAUCACAGUGGACUCAUGACAAAAGACACUAAUGAUCUGUGGAUUCAAGCUGACUUUGAUGGAAACAGUCUAAAACAGUUUCAACAUAAAGUUGGGAAUCAUACCCUGUCUGAACAGAGAAACGCAGAGGACGGAGAAGCAAAUGGCAACCAAGAACAAAUGUUUGGUUUCAGUGUCAAGAACACAGCAUUAUUUCCUUUUGAAGUGGAGAAAUGAGUGUAGCUAGAAUCUUACUCUCUCUCAGCCUCUAUGGAACAAAAGUUUAGGACACCAAACCAAAUUUGUUAUAACCAAUGGAUCAAGAAUAAGGCAAUUCGAAAUCAAAAGAAGAGUCCUUCUAAACAGCUGUAGCAACAGUUAUAUUUUAAGAUUCUGGAAUUGUAAAAAAUAUGCUAAUAAUAAUACCAGGUAACAAAAACAAUUAGUGUUCAAAUUAUUCA